rnacentral:rRNA from 1 species
ACUCCUACGGGAGGCAGCAGUGGGGAAUUUUGGACAAUGGGCGCAAGCCUGAUCCAGCCAUGCCGCGUGUCUGAAGAAGGCCUUCGGGUUGUAAAGGACUUUUGUCUGGGAGCAAAUACCCGGUGUUAAUAGCGCCGGGGGCUGAGAGUACCAGAAGAAUAAGCACCGGCUAACUACGUGCCAGCAGCCGCGGUAAUACG